rnacentral:rRNA from 1 species
AGAGUUUGAUCCUGGCUCAGGACGAACGCUGGCGGCGUGCCUAAUACAUGCAAGUCGAACGCACUGACGUCGACAGAAGGUGCUUGCACUGGAAGUUGAUUGACGUGAGUGGCGAACGGGUGAGUAACACGUGGGUAACCUGCCCUUAAGCGGGGGAUAACAUUUGGAAACAGAUGCUAAUACCGCAUAAAAGUUGAGAUCACAUGGUCUUAAUUUGAAAGACGGCCUUUGGCUGUCACUUAAGGAUGGACCCGCGGCGUAUUAGCUAGUUGGUGAGAUAAUAGCCCACCAAGGCGAUGAUACGUAGCCGACCUGAGAGGGUAAUCGGCCACAUUGGGACUGAGACACGGCCCAAACUCCUACGGGAGGCAGCAGUAGGGAAUCUUCCACAAUGGACGAAAGUCUGAUGGAGCAACGCCGCGUGAGUGAAGAAGGUUUUCGGAUCGUAAAACUCUGUUGUUGGAGAAGAACAGGGACUAGAGUAACUGUUAGUCCUUUGACGGUAUCCAACCAGAAAGCCACGGCUAACUACGUGCCAGCAGCCGCGGUAAUACGUAGGUGGCAAGCGUUGUCCGGAUUUAUUGGGCGUAAAGCCGAGCGCAGGCGGUUUCUUAAGUCUGAUGUGAAAGCCUUCGGCUUAACCGAAGAAGUGCAUCAGAUACUGGGAAACUUGAGUGCAGAAGAGGGAAGUGGAACUCCAUGUGUAGCGGUGAAAUGCGUAGAUAUAUGGAAGAACACCAGUGGCGAAGGCGGCUUUCUGGUCUGUAACUGACGCUGAGGCUCGAAAGUAUGGGGAGCGAACAGGAUUAGAUACCCUGGUAGUCCAUACCGUAAACGAUGAAUGCUAAGUGUUGGAGGGU